rnacentral:rRNA from 1 species
UACAGAGGUCUCAAGCGUUGUUCGGAUUCAUUGGGCGUAAAGAGCUCGUAGGCGGCUUGUCGCGUCGUGUGUGAAAUCUCAGGGCUCAACUCUGACAUUGCAUACGAUACGGGCAGGCUUGAGUUCGGUAGGGGAGACUGGAAUUCCUGGUGUAGCGGUGAAAUGCGCAGAUAUCAGGAGGAACACCGGUGGCGAAGGCGGGUCUCUGGGCCGAUACUGACGCUGAGGAGCGAAAGCGUGGGGAGCGAACAGG